rnacentral:tRNA from 1 species
ACUAUUUUGGCAGAAAAGUGUUAUGAAUUUAGAAUUCAUUUAUGUGAGAUAAUAAUUCUUACAAAUAGUA